rnacentral:rRNA from 1 species
GAUGAGCGCUGGCGGCGUGCUUAACACAUGCAAGUCGAACGAUGAAGCCCAGCUUGCUGGGUGGAUUAGUGGCGAACGGGUGAGUAACACGUGAGUAACCUGCCCUUGACUCUGGGAUAAGCCUGGGAAACUGGGUCUAAUACUGGAUAUGACUUCUCAUCGCAUGGUGGGGGGUGGAAAGAUUUAUUGGUCUUGGAUGGACUCGCGGCCUAUCAGCUUGUUGGUGAGGUAAUGGCUCACCAAGGCGACGACGGGUAGCCGGCCUGAGAGGGUGACCGGCCACACUGGGACUGAGACACGGCCCAGACUCCUACGGGAGGCAGCAGUGGGGAAUAUUGCACAAUGGGCGCAAGCCUGAUGCAGCGACGCCGCGUGAGGGAUGACGGCCUUCGGGUUGUAAACCUCUUUCAGUAGGGAAGAAGCGAGAGUGACGGUACCUGCAGAAGAAGCGCCGGCUAACUACGUG